UUUUUAUUUUUAUUUUUUUGGAGUGAUAGAUGUGAGAGAUGUGAGAUGUAAGUGAGAGAGAUGAUGAUGAAUAUUUGUGUAGCAGAAGAAAUUGAUGUGAUGGAGGAAGAAAAGAAGAAGUACACGUGAGGGAAUAAGAGAAAGAGGGGAGAAAAUAUCUUUUGUUUUUUUUCUUCUGAAAAUUUACCUUCAUGCUAUAGUAAGUGACAUAAAAUGGAAGCCUUAUUUCCACUAUACACACGUGUCCUCCCGUUAUUUUUU
rnacentral:lncRNA from 1 species